UACGUAGGGGGCAAGCGUUGUCCGGAUUUAUUGGGCGUAAAGAGCGUGUAGGCGGCCAGGUAGGUCUGCUGUGAAAACUGGAGGCUUAACCUCCAGACGUCGACGGAAACCGCGUGGCUAGAGUCCGGAAGAGGAGAGUGGAAUUCCUGGUGUAGCGGUGAAAUGCGUAGAUAUCAGGAAGAACACCGAUGGCGAAGGCAGUGGGCUGGGCCGGUACUGACGCUGAGGAGCGAAAGCGUGGGGAGCGAACAGG
rnacentral:rRNA from 1 species